CCAAAAAUCUUAAACUGCAUCAACUUUCCUGUUUACAUCAAAUGAUCAGCAGAAGUAAAUCAUGUGUGAUGUAGCUGAUAAUCUGGGGCACCAAAGGGGAAAUUUCAAGUUGAUGACAUCAUAAUGUGCAUGACAUGCAGUAUUGAUGACAUCACAGAUUUUGGAACUCAGCCAAUUCUCUCAGGACAGUGUCUGCUGAGCCAGGCCGAAUGUGGAUUACCUGUCUUCACCGAAUCCUAUCCUGGUACAGUCUGAGCAUAGAAAUUUGCAGAUACCGACUUAUUGAGAACCAAGAUAUCUGGGAGUUUUCAACAGACAAGAGGACCUGGAUAUUCUGCUACAUGUGACACUGACGCAAACUGUGUUGUACUUUUACAUCAAUA